rnacentral:rRNA from 1 species
GAUCCUGGCUCAGGAUGAACGCUAGCUACAGGCUUAACACAUGCAAGUCGAGGGGAAACGACAUCGAAAGCUUGCUUCCGGUGGGCGUCGACCGGCGCACGGGUGAGUAACGCGUAUCCAACCUGCCCACCACUUGGGGAUAACCUUGCGAAAGUAAGACUAAUACCCAAUGAUAUCUCUAGAAGACAUCUGAGAGAGAUUAAAGAUUUAUCGGUGAUGGAUGGGGAUGCGUCUGAUUAG